GAUGAACGCUGGCGGCGUGCCUAAUACAUGCAAGUCGAGCGAACGGACGAGAAGCUUGCUUCUCUGAUGUUAGCGGCGGACGGGUGAGUAACACGUGGAUAACCUACCUAUAAGACUGGGAUAACUUCGGGAAACCGUAGCUAAUACCGGAUAAUAUUUUGAACCGCAUGGUUCAAAAGUGAAAGACGGUCUUGCUGUCACUUAUAGAUGGAUCCGCGCUGCAUUAGCUAGUUGGUAAGGUAACGGCUUACCAAGGCAACGAUGCAUAGCCGACCUGAGAGGGUGAUCGGCCACACUGGAACUGAGACACGGUCCAGACUCCUACGGGAGGCAGCAGUAGGGAAUCUUCCGCAAUGGGCGAAAGCCUGACGGAGCAACGCCGCGUGAGUGAUGAAGGUCUUCGGAUCGUAAAACUCUGUUAUUAGGGAAGAACAUAUGUGUAAGUAACUGUGCACAUCUUGACGGUACCUAAUCAGAAAGCCACGGCUAACUACGUGCCAGCAGCCGCGGUAAUACGUAGGUGGCAAGCGUUAUCCGGAAUUAUUGGGCGUAAAGCGCGCGUAGGCGGUUUUUUAAGUCUGAUGUGAAAGCCCACGGCUCAACCGUGGAGGGUCAUUGGAAACUGGAAAACUUGAGUGCAGAAGAGGAAAGUGGAAUUCCAUGUGUAGCGGUGAAAUGCGCAGAGAUAUGGAGGAACACCAGUGGCGAAGGCGACUUUCUGGUCUGUAACUGACGCUGAUGUGCGAAAGCAUGGGGAUCAAACAGGAUUAGAUACCCUGGUAGUCCACGCCGUAAACGAUGAGUGCUAAGUGUUAGGGGGUUUCCGCCCCUUAGUGCUGCAGCUAACGCAUUAAGCACUCCGCCUGGGGAGUACGACCGCAAGGUUGAAACUCAAAGGAAUUGACGGGGACCCGCACAAGCGGUGGAGCAUGUGGUUUAAUUCGAAGCAACGCGAAGAACCUUACCAAAUCUUGACAUCCUUUGACAACUCUAGAGAUAGAGCCUUCCCCUUCGGGGGACAAAGUGACAGGUGGUGCAUGGUUGUCGUCAGCUCGUGUCGUGAGAUGUUGGGUUAAGUCCCGCAACGAGCGCAACCCUUAAGCUUAGUUGCCAUCAUUAAGUUGGGCACUCUAAGUUGACUGCCGGUGACAAACCGGAGGAAGGUGGGGAUGACGUCAAAUCAUCAUGCCCCUUAUGAUUUGGGCUACACACGUGCUACAAUGGACAAUACAAAGGGCAGCGAAACCGCGAGGUCAAGCAAAUCCCAUAAAGUUGUUCUCAGUUCGGAUUGUAGUCUGCAACUCGACUACAUGAAGCUGGAAUCGCUAGUAAUCGUAGAUCAGCAUGCUACGGUGAAUACGUUCCCGGGUCU
rnacentral:rRNA from 1 species